rnacentral:rRNA from 1 species
AUUGAACGCUGGCGGCAGGCCUAACACAUGCAAGUCGAGCGGUAGCACAGAGAGCUUGCUCUCGGGUGACGAGCGGCGGACGGGUGAGUAAUGUCUGGGAAACUGCCUGAUGGAGGGGGAUAACUACUGGAAACGGUAGCUAAUACCGCAUAACGUCGCAAGACCAAAGUGGGGGACCUUCGGGCCUCAUGCCAUCAGAUGUGCCCAGAUGGGAUUAGCUAGUAGGUGGGGUAACGGCUCACCUAGGCGACGAUCCCUAGCUGGUCUGAGAGGAUGACCAGCCACACUGGAACUGAGACACGGUCCAGACUCCUACGGGAGGCAGCAGUGGGGAAUAUUGCACAAUGGGCGCAAGCCUGAUGCAGCCAUGCCGCGUGUGUGAAGAAGGCCUUCGGGUUGUAAAGCACUUUCAGCGGGGAAGAAGGCGGUGAGGUUAAUAACCUUGUCGAUUGACGUUACCCGCAGAAGAAGCACCGGCUAACUCCGUGCCAGCAGCCGCGGUAAUACGGAAGGUGCAAGCGUUAAUCGGAAUUACUGGGCGUAAAGCGCACGCAGGCGGUCUGUCAAGUCGGAUGUGAAAUCCCCGGGCUCAACCUGGGAACUGCAUUCGAAACUGGCAGGCUAGAGUCUUGUAGAGGGGGGUAGAAUUCCAGGUGUAGCGGUGAAAUGCGUAGAGAUCUGGAGGAAUACCGGUGGCGAAGGCGGCCCCCUGGACAAAGACUGACGCUCAGGUGCGAAAGCGUGGGGAGCAAACAGGAUUAGAUACCCUGGUAGUCCACGCCGUAAACGAUGUCGAUUUGGAGGUUGUGCCCUUGAGGCGUGGCUUCCGGAGCUAACGCGUUAAAUCGACCGCCUGGGGAGUACGGCCGCAAGGUUAAAACUCAAAUGAAUUGACGGGGGCCCGCACAAGCGGUGGAGCAUGUGGUUUAAUUCGAUGCAACGCGAAGAACCUUACCUGGUCUUGACAUCCACAGAACUUUCCAGAGAUGGAUUGGUGCCUUCGGGAACUGUGAGACAGGUGCUGCAUGGCUGUCGUCAGCUCGUGUUGUGAAAUGUUGGGUUAAGUCCCGCAACGAGCGCAACCCUUAUCCUUUGUUGCCAGCGGUUAGGCCGGGAACUCAAAGGAGACUGCCAGUGAUAAACUGGAGGAAGGUGGGGAUGACGUCAAGUCAUCAUGGCCCUUACGACCAGGGCUACACACGUGCUACAAUGGCAUAUACAAAGAGAAGCGACCUCGCGAGAGCAAGCGGACCUCAUAAAGUAUGUCGUAGUCCGGAUUGGAGUCUGCAACUCGACUCCAUGAAGUCGGAAUCGCUAGUAAUCGUAGAUCAGAAUGCUACGGUGAAUACGUUCCCGGGCCU